GACGAACGCUGGCGGCGUGCUUAACACAUGCGAGUCGAACGCUGAAGCACCAGCUUGCUGGUGUGGAUGAGUGGCGAACGGGUGAGUAAUACGUGAGUAACCUGCCCUUGACUCUGGGAUAAGCCCGGGAAACUGGGUCUAAUACUGGAUGCUACAUGUCACCGCAUGGUGGUGUGUGGAAAGGGUUUACUGGUCUUGGAUGGGCUCACGGCCUAUCAGCUUGUUGGUGAGGUAAUGGCUCACCAAGGCGACGACGGGUAGCCGGCCUGAGAGGGUGACCGGCCACACUGGGACUGAGACACGGCCCAGACUCCUACGGGAGGCAGCAGUGGGGAAUAUUGCACAAUGGGCGAAAGCCUGAUGCAGCGACGCCGCGGGAGGGAUGACGGCCUUCGGGUUGUAAACCUCUUUCAGCAGGGAAGAAGCCACAAGUGACGGUACCUGCAGAAGAAGCGCCGGCUAACUACGUG
rnacentral:rRNA from 1 species